GUUUUUGGAAUAGUUUUAACCAACACUGUUAAAUCAUUUUAUGAGCCACCGGAGGAUCUAAAGAAAGAUUCACAGUUUUGGUCACUCAUGAUUAUGGUUCUUGCAACAGUACUUCUGAUUACAACUCCACUAGAGACACUAUUUUUUACUGUGGCUGGUUGUAAGUUGAUCCGACGAAUUAGAUCAAUGUGCUUUCAAAAGGUUGUCCACAUGGAAAUUGGUUG
rnacentral:misc_RNA from 1 species